rnacentral:lncRNA from 1 species
AAUUCUAUCUGAUAGUAAGAUAUGAUAUGUUCCUUAUCUAUAUCAUUACCAAAACUCCUUUCGAUGGCUCAAAACUUAUUGUGAUUCUACACUAUUAAAGAAUAAUCAAUCAUCUUUAUUUAUUUGUAUUAGUUCCUACACUUCGCUAGUAACACUUAGUAGUAGUGGCAACCCAGUGCAAAGUGAAUAUCGAACUGAACCUUUAGGUAAUAGUUACCAUACGAUACAAUCCAUCUAUCGCAUAAUUCCGACUAAAUGGACAUCAUGAAAUACUCAUCAAGUCCCAUCACCAUUAAAU